AUUCCAUGAUGAGGACAGGCCUAGAUGUACUCCUGGAGCCUUUCCCAUGCUUCGGGGAUGGACUCUAGUGAAGACUGCUGGAAGUUGGAGAUCUUCCCCCUUAGAGC
rfam:Sorghum bicolor cultivar BTx623 chromosome 7, whole genome shotgun sequence.